GAGGGAGGCUCGACCACAGCACCAGUAACCUUGUCUGAUGUGAUCAUUAACCUUUCUGGAAAAUGCAGCUGGCAGUUCUCUGAGGCUCGUCAUUAGAAUGUGAGGAAAGCCACACAGAUAUUGCCCAGACUAUUCAAAGAUUGUUUGGUUUACACUGAGAGCUAUUGCUCCGCUUCCGUGCGGCAGAAAAAUGAGGUUGCAACAAUUCUUUUGUGUAUUUUUUAUUUUUGUGAUGAGUCUUCUUCUUAUCGACGGACAGAGACCAGCUAAUUUGGCGUUGAGAAGAAAAUUGCACAGACACAACUGCCUUCAGAGGAGAUGUAUGCCACUCCAUUCACGGGUGCCCUUCCCCUGAGGGGAUAAGAAAGAAUCAAGACUGGCUUGCAUGGAUUCAAGCUCUGGCCACAAGCUCGUUCAGUGGUCAUUGAUCUUAAGCUAACUUCACCUGGUCUGCCAGAAGAGGAGUGAAUAAAAGAUACCCACCCACACCAUAGUGUGAUUGCUUAGAAGUUCCUGUUCAAAAAGGAAUCAUUUGAAAGCACCUGCGAUGGUUUCUUAGUUUUACAGGAUUCUCUUUUUCCUGGUUUCUCUUUAGAGGGGAAAAUAACGUAAAUUCAAAAACAAUUCCAAUCUGAAGCACAGUUAUUUGCUUAUAUAACAAAAUCUCUCAUCUUUUUCUGUAUAUUGCUAUUCUUAGGUGAGUUAAAAAGAAAUAUACUUUUUAAUGUCUUAGAACUCUGUAAUAAUAAAAAGUACAAGAACUAAAAUUUUUCUUUCAUAUUCCUAUAAUUCUCCAAAAUUAAAAUAAGUGUUUAUAUGUUUGAGUGAUUUUUUUCCAAAAAUGCUAAAUCUGAAAUAAAAUGCAUUGGUCAUUUGGCUUUACAGAAUAGGGAUAAAUUAAUUAGUUCAUCGAUUCUUUUUUUUUUUUUUUUUUUUUGGGACAGAGAGAGA